UUUGACUGUUUCCCAAGGGAGUGUUCUUCUGGAGUUUGCUUCUGGAUUCCUCACUCUCUGCGAACCUUGUUUGUGGAUGCCCCUCAAAAAUGCAAUGCCCGGCAUUAGAUGCACAAGCCCAGGCAAUUAAAAUGAAGACUGUUUCCAUGCGGGCCCCCGUGAAAGGGAUUCCUGUGUAUCUCAAGCAACAAAGAGAGCUGUGGAGCAAGGAGAUUCCCUGUGUAAUCGGGAGCACUGGAUGUGAAUCCCAGGUCUGGCAUGGGAACCUUGGAAUACUCAGUGAGUGAUGCUGAGUGGAAUGUUACGUAUCACCAUCAUCAUCAGCAUCCAUCCCACCACCAUCAUCACAACCACCACCACCACCAUCAUCAUCAUCAUCAUCAUCAACAGCUUUUUCCAAGCAAGUCUGGAAUAAGAAGAGAAGUCGGAGGAUUUAGGCUUUGUACUUCCUGGCAGCCCCAGCCCCUGAGGCUCAUGCGAUCCUGCUCACCUUCUCUCCCUGACCCCGAACCCUAAGGGGCUCCCGCACUCCAGAUCGUAGCUGGCUCUUCUCUAUUCUUUUCCUUAUUCCAGCCAUUAGAGUCUUUUGGGACUGGCUUCUCAACCUUUGUCACAUUGGGCUUGAUAUUUUUAGUUUCUUUCAGUGGUAAAUAUUAGAUUAUUCAGAAAAAUUGUUGUCCCAGAUUUCCACACAUGAUGGUAUAGAUACAGAAUAUACACUUAUAAAAUAAGCAGAAAUGAUAUCUCAUGAACAUUUGCUAGAAUUGAAAUAGAAGAGGUGCAGGCAGCAUCCCCAUAGCUUAAAAAUGAUCUGCUAAGAUGUGGGCAUGACUUUUCCCCACAAAACUUGCCACUCAUUUGAUAUUAUAGUGCGGGGGAAUAGUCUUCCUGACAUUUUAGUGGUUGUUAUUGCUGUAUUUUUUUUUUAGGGCAUAUUUUUUUAAGGGGAGAAAAUGAAGAAUAUGUAAGGAAAAAAAUCAGUACUUAGCUGGGUUACCUUUUAUUCUUAGGACAUUUACUUGUUAGCAUUACAGUCUUAAAAUAGUCUUCUACCAAAUACAUUACCAACAGGCAUUUCCAAAAUGCUGAGAGUACUCUAUCUAGUCUCAAAUUCUCAAGUUCAAAAAAAUGGAAUGCCAGUUCCUCCAUGGGCUGACACAGCCUCAUUAUUAUGGCCAUAUUUAUUUACUUAUUUAUUGUAGUAAAAUAUACAUAAUAUAAAAUUCAUCAUUUAAACCAUUUUAAGCAUACAGUUCAGUGCCUUUAAGUACAUUCACAUUGUUAUAUAAUCAUCACUACUAUCCAUCUUCAAAACUUUUUUUAUCUUCUGCAAUGAAAACUAUGUACCCAUUUAAUAAUAAUUCCUAAUUACCCCUACCCUCUGCCCGUAGCCACCACCAUUCUACUUUGUGUCUCUAUGAAUUUAACUACUGUCAGUACCUUAUGUAAGUGGAUUAGCGCCAAAUUUGUCUUUUUGCGAUUGGCUUAGUCACUUAGCAUCAUGUCUUCCAGGUUCAGUCAUAUUGCGGCAUAUGUCAGGAUUUUCUUCCCUUUAGGGUAACACUUAUUGAGCUCUUACUGCCUACCAGGCCUUGUGCUAUGCGCUUCAACAGACCUCACAAUCACCCUAUGAGGUAGGGAGUCUCACUAACUCCAUUUCACAGAUGAAGAAACUGAAGACAGGAAUGUUUAGAAAGCUGCCUGAUAUGGUUUAGCUCUGUGU
rnacentral:lncRNA from 1 species